rnacentral:rRNA from 1 species
AUUGAACGCUGGCGGCAUGCCUUACACAUGCGAGUCGAACGGUAACGGGCCUUCGGGUGCCGACGAGUGGCGAACGGGGGAGUAAUACAUCGGAACGUGCCCGAUCGUGGGGGAUAACGAGGCGAAAGCUUUGCUAAUAUCGCAUACGAUCUACGGAUGAAAGCAGGGGAAAGCAAGGCCUUGCGCGGACGGGGCGGACGAUGGCAGAUUAGGUAGUUGGUGGGAUAAAAGCUUACCAAGCCGACGAUCUGUAGCUGGUCUGAGAGGAUGAUCAGCCACACUGGGACUGAGACACGGCCCAGACUCCUACGGGAGGCAGCAGUGGGGAAUUUUGGACAAUGGGCGCAAGCCUGAUCCAGCCAUGCCGCGUGCAGGAUGAAGGCCUUCGGGUUGUAAACUGCUUUUGUACGGAACGAAAAGCCUUCUUUUAAUACAGGGGGGUCAUGACGGUACCGUAAGAAUAAGCACCGGCUAACUACGUG